rnacentral:rRNA from 1 species
AGCGAACGCUGGCGGCAGGCCUAACACAUGCAAGUCGAACGAAGUCUUCGGACUUAGUGGCGGACGGGUGAGUAACACGUGGGAACGUGCCUUUAGGUUCGGAAUAACUCAGGGAAACUUGUGCUAAUACCGAAUGUGCCCUUCGGGGGAAAGAUUUAUCGCCUUUAGAGCGGCCCGCGUCCGAUUAGCUAGUUGGUGAGGUAUAGGCUCACCAAGGCUACGAUCAGUAGCUGGUCUGAGAGGAUGACCAGCCACAUUGGGACUGAGACACGGCCCAAACUCCUACGGGAGGCAGCAGUGGGGAAUCUUGCGCAAUGGGCGAAAGCCUGACGCAGCCAUGCCGCGUGGAUGAUGAAGGUCUUAGGAUUGUAAAAUCCUUUCACCGGUGAAGAUAAUGACCGUAGCCGGAGAAGAAGCCCCGGCUAACUUCGUGCCAGCCGCCGCUGUAACAC